UCGAGAAUUUUUCACAAUGGGCGAAAGCCUGAUGGAGCGACGCCGCGUGGGGGAUGAAUGGCUUCGGCCCGUAAACCCCUGUCAUUUGCGAACAAACCUUGCCCGCUAACACCGGGCGAGCUGAUUGUAGCGGAAGAGGAAGGGACGGCUAACUCUGUGCCAGCAGCCGCGGUAAUACAGAGGUCCCGAGCGUUGUUCGGAUUCACUGGGCGUAAAGGGUGCGUAGGUGGUCGGGUAAGUCUGAUGUGAAAUCUCGGAGCUCAACUCCGAAACGGCAUCGGAAACUCCCCGGCUAGAGGGUUGAAGGGGGGACUGGAAUUCUCGGUGUAGCAGUGAAAUGCGUAGAUAUCGAGAGGAACACCGGUGGCGAAGGCGAGUCCCUGGACAACUCCUGACACUGAGGCACGAAAGCUAGGGGAGCAAACAGGAUUAGAUACCCUGGUAGUCCUAGCCGUAAACGGUGCACGUUUGCUGUGAGUGGAAUCGACCCCUCUCGUGGCGAAGCUAACG
rnacentral:rRNA from 1 species